CAAGAGGGAACACUGGUCUGCACCAGUGCCUGGAGGACACAGCUGGCACAAAGCAGAACUCGGGAGGAGGGGAGACAAGAACAAUAAGAUAGCAGGAACGGCAAGAAAAAAUUAGUCAUGGGUUUCUAAUAAAAACCAUACAUCACUCCAAUUAAUUGUCAAGGUGCAAAAGGAAGAUUUCAACAUCAGACCAUCACUUAACAUCUCCUCAGUUGUAAUCAAUCAGCUCAGCACCACCAGGUUACCCAAGAUGAAUCCCAUUGAUGAGUAAUUUCUGAGUAAUAACUUGUGGAAGAUAAAAGUGUCGCCAAAAUCUUGCUGCUCCAAGCUGAUCUGCUGUCUCACUUCCAGAUCCUUGAAACCAAGGGGUGAAGAUUUCAUUUAAAGGUGCCCAGGUGAAUUUUACUUUUCCACCACUGUCCCUUCAAUGAGGACACUGCUGCAGACAGCAGGGAACCCAAACCUCUGUGAUGAAACCCAGCCCAGAGCCUUGGGCAAGGCAGGGCUGAGUGAGCAGCACGGGGAGGGCACAGGCUCAAACAAGCCUCCCUUGCUCAGGGACUCAGGCACUCAGCACAGCUUCUGCAGGGGGAGAAUUGCUAAAAUCUCAUCCAGCACAGACAUUGCUGCAGCCCAACAAGGCAGAGUUGAAGUGUGGAGAAAAUCAGUGUUUCAUCAUGACAGGCCUGGCUCCCCUCAGCUUCAAUGAGCCACCCUCAGAAGUCAGCCCAGAGAGCCCACAGGAUCCAGCUUUGGAGGGGAGUCUGAUAUAAAUUCAAUCCUUUGCAAUCCAGUCUUAGCUCCUCAUUCUAACCUCCAAAGGCCAGACCAACCCAAUCAACCCCUACAACCUCGUUCUGCUUUUUUUGUUCCAUCAUUCCCCACUCUCAGCAAAGGGUGGCACCUUCCCUGCUGCUGCCUUUCCCAAAGUUCUGCAAUCUCCCUGUGGCUUUUCACCCCCAUCAUGAGGGAGUCACAUCAGGAUCCAGCUUGGUCCCCAGUUGCUCCACACUGACUGCAUGGAAUUGUUAAAGCCUGACACAGACAUGUGCUGCUCUAAGGGACUCUGCUGCUCUAAAAGGGUAACACAAGAAAUGCCUCUGCAGUCAGAAUUAUUUGGAGAGUAACACACCCCACCUCUAUGCCUAACAAAGAACUGAAGGAACAGUCCAGUAGAAAUCUCUUUAUAUUUCCUAGAAAUCUCUUUAUAUUUCCUAAUUUCUUAUCCCAUAAGGACUUCUUUGGGAUCACCUUUAUCUUUAUUGUAUUAAAAAAAAAAAAAAAAGAAUUGUUUUUCAAGCCAACCAGUGUUGGCUUUUUUUUUAGUAGGAUUCCUGGUACUGUAACACUGACUCAAAGACUAGACUUUUUUUUUUUCAAAUGAUGACUUAUCAGGUAGUCUAAUCUGUAUUCCUGCCAAAGCAAGACUAUUCCUGACAAUAUUAGCACAUUGCCUAUUCUUGUUUUAGCUCUGCCAGGGCCCAGAGCCUCAGCUCUGCCCCCCUGCACAUCUGUUAAUAGCUCUGGGAGGGGUCUGCCAAGAACCACACCAGGCACCAUUCCUGGUGGGCAAACUGCUCAUUCCCUGCCCAGCAGCCCAGACUUGGCAAUAGAACUGAUGACUCACAGCUUGGAGAAAAAAAUUAAAAGCCUUUUUAAAAAAAGGGUGAUUAUCUAAGAAAUCUUCCCAGCCCCGUGCCUCCACUUGUGCUGUGACUGAGUGAGCAGGAGCUGUGCCUGUGGUACCUGGCUCCACAAGAGCAGCAUUCCAGCUCCCAGCUUAUCACCAGCAUUCCCAACACUGCUCUGGCUCUGCUUUCAGGACAUUUCACUGUGCCACUCUUGGUGUGGAGCACAAAUUAAAGUUCUGUUCAAGCCAAGCCUGUCUGCUGACAUAAUUCCAGCAUUUGGUACAAGUGAAUUUUGGCCAUAAUGUAUCCACCUGAAUUUCAUUUCUUUGAGGGGUAACAGUGCUGCUAUUCCCAUUUAAAAAGUGAGAAAUUCCAUCACCAGAGGCUGACAGACCCACAGAGGCAGCAGCUCCUGGGAAUUUAACACUUUGUUAUAGCUCUGAAGUGGAUCUCAAGGGACCUACCUAAGGCCACAUGGGAAACUCCAGGGGAAAAAGAACAACCCAAACAAAAGAGAAUAAAGUCAAGCCUGUUUCUAUUAACUAACUGAUUUCUAAAACCACAAAUAUGGUGAGUAAGCAGAUCACAUUCCACAUUGCAAAACACAGAACCACGCAACCAGUCUGCAGCAAGGACACAAAACAGAUAUGUAAAAUUCUUCCUGAAGAAUUGGAUUUCCUGAAGAAUUCCUGAAUAAUUCUUCCUGAAGGAUAUGGGUGACUAGAGAAUGUCUCAAACAGCUGAAGUUAAGAAAAAAUUUUCAAAAAAAAUCAUUAAAUAAUUGGUUCUCAAUAUUAAAAAGAGAGGUGUGUCAUGGGAAAUAUUUUAGAAAUGCCAUGGUUUAUGCUUUGGGGCAGCUGGAGGUUAGCACUGAUAUGGUGAUAAAGAAAUAUUGGGCUGAAAACCCAAAUAAAAGCUGGUCUGGGGACUGUGGGGCACGUGCCCCACAUCUCCUGCUAUGUAACACUUCACUGCAAUAAUUAUGCCAGUUAUUAUAUUUAUAACAACAUUUCCCUGGGAGACUGGAAUUGCAACAUUCCAACUAAAGGCUAAACAAUUAAUUAAUUUUUUGGGGGCUGGACAAAACAAGCCAGCACAAUCUGGAUGAAGAUGGCUGAGGGCACACACCAGCAGGGCACUGACCAAACCUAAAAUCAAGAUCCAGGUGGAUUCUGAUGGAACAAACGCAAUCCUCUAGAAAUAAAACACGAGAAAAAGGGGCAGAGAUUUUCCUCAACUUUCUUUAAACAGUUUUCACUCAGUUAAGAAGUUUUGUGUUUCACAGAAUGGCAUUUUUUUCCAUUCCAGACACAGAAAUGUGCAUUGAAAAUGUGCUCUGUAACAGGGGGGCUUUGGCUGAAUUUUAUCACUGCUGUGAAGAAGGGUUCAUGAAAUGAGACAGGUUUAUAGGACAGACACUCCAUCCUGACUGAACACUUCCAGUGGGUUACCACAGCAUUUCACAACCCCUUAGUUUACAACAGUGGCACAGCAAAGUGUUGAAAUAGCAGAGGAUUUUUAUAAACAAUAUUGGAGGUCAAUUUUACAAAAAAAAAAAACCAAAACACCAAACCCAAGAAUGGUUUCAGGUGUUGAUACCAUCUUUAUUAUUUUCUGAUAUGGCUGAAGAUCAGCCACUGAAUGUAAAAAUCUUCUGGAAAUGCUGCAUUUAUGCAGCUAAAUAAGCAACCCUUUCAGUGACUGAGCUUGCCUUGAAGCCACAGGAUUUCUAAUGAGUGAGGAUUUCACACCCCCAAGAGUGACUGCUCAGCACUUGUGUGAACAUUUUGACUCAGGAAUUCUAAAUCAAAUCUGCUUUACUGUAAUCAAUAUCAAGAAAAAUGGAAGUUUAAAUUUCCAUUGACCCCAUCAUUUUUAUACCCAUUCUUUAAUCAUCAAUGUGAAAAUAAGUUGUAUUUAAACUCCCUGGUGUUUCUGUGCUCAUUAAACAAUUUGGUAUUUUAUCUGCCCCAGCUUCUGGGCAAGUAUCUCUUUUCUCCACCAGAAAACAGAAAGCCAAUUGUAUUUCCAUUAAUUAUAAUCAGAACCCUUAUCCUGUUAGACCAGGAUAACAACCCAUCCCAGGAAACCCUAUCCUGAGAGAUGACCUGAAAGGCUUGAGGAGAGCAGGACAAUCCCAAGGAGUUUUCUGCUGAGCAACUUGUGCAGGAUCAGCUCUGCAGCAUUGAUGGAUUUCCAUUUUUAACAUAACUCACUUCCAGACAGAUUUUAAAAAUUCUAAAUUUUAUAAAAAUCUUCCAGACUUUUAUAAACAACCUGUCUGGUUAGUGUCUCUGAAAGUUUAACACAAGGAAAGAUUUGUAAUACUCAGUUUAAAAAUCUUGUUAGCAAUCAACAGUUUAAAUUGUGAGCA